rnacentral:rRNA from 1 species
UACGUAGGGGCAAGCGUUGUCCGGAAUCAUUGGGCGUAAAGCGCGUGUAGGCGGCUCGGUAAGUCCGCUCUGAAAGCCCGGGGCUCAACCCCGGGAGGCGGGUGGAUACUGCUGAGCUCGAGUCCGGAAGAGGAGUGUGGAAUUCCUGGUGUAGCGGUGAAAUGCGCAGAUAUCAGGAAGAACACCAAUGCGAAGGCAGCUCUCUGGGACGGUACUGACGCUGAGAGCGAAAGCGUGGGGAGCAACGGAUAGAUAC